rnacentral:lncRNA from 1 species
UAUUUGUGUUUUUGUGCUGUAGUGUUGGUUGGUGAUACCGUCAUUUAUGGAUUGUGCAUUUUCUGUUUUGCACUCCAAUGAAGGAUGAAUGAUAUUGCUGCACGUGUUAAACAGAUCUAGAUGAUAGAUGUAGGUGGUUUGAGUUGUGGAUUAUCUGAAUUUAUUUAGGCUAUGAAUGAUUUUGAUAGUAAGUUGGUUU